UUGAACGCUGGCGGCAGGCCUAACACAUGCAAGUCGAACGGUAACAGGAAGAAGCUUGCUUCUUUGCUGACGAGUGGCGGACGGGUGAGUAAUGUCUGGGAAACUGCCUGAUGGAGGGGGAUAACUACUGGAAACGGUAGCUAAUACCGCAUAACGUCGCAAGACCAAAGAGGGGGACCUUCGGGCCUCUUGCCAUCGGAUGUGCCCAGAUGGGAUUAGCUAGUAGGUGGGGUAACGGCUCACCUAGGCGACGAUCCCUAGCUGGUCUGAGAGGAUGACCAGCCACACUGGAACUGAGACACGGUCCAGACUCCUACGGGAGGCAGCAGUGGGGAAUAUUGCACAAUGGGCGCAAGCCUGAUGCAGCCAUGCCGCGUGUAUGAAGAAGGCCUUCGGGUUGUAAAGUACUUUCAGCGGGGAGGAAGGGAGUAAAGUUAAUACCUUUGCUCAUUGACGUUACCCGCAGAAGAAGCACCGGCUAACUCCGUGCCAGCAGCCGCGGUAAUACGGAGGGUGCAAGCGUUAAUCGGAAUUACUGGGCGUAAAGCGCACGCAGGCGGUUUGUUAAGUCAGAUGUGAAAUCCCCGGGCUCAACCUGGGAACUGCAUCUGAUACUGGCAAGCUUGAGUCUCGUAGAGGGGGGUAGAAUUCCAGGUGUAGCGGUGAAAUGCGUAGAGAUCUGGAGGAAUACCGGUGGCGAAGGCGGCCCCCUGGACGAAGACUGACGCUCAGGUGCGAAAGCGUGGGGAGCAAGCAGGAUUAGAUACCCUGGUAGUCCACGCCGUAAACGAUGUCGACUUGGAGGUUGUGCCCUUGAGGCGUGGCUUCCGGAGCUAACGCGUUAAGUCGACCGCCUGGGGAGUACGGCCGCAAGGUUAAAACUCAAAUGAAUUGACGGGGGCCCGCACAAGCGGUGGAGCAUGUGGUUUAAUUCGAUGCAACGCGAAGAACCUUACCUGGUCUUGACAUCCACGGAAGUUUUCAGAGAUGAGAAUGUGCCUUCGGGAACCGUGAGACAGGUGCUGCAUGGCUGUCGUCAGCUCGUGUUGUGAAAUGUUGGGUUAAGUCCCGCAACGAGCGCAACCCUUAUCCUUUGUUGCCAGCGGUCCGGCCGGGAACUCAAAGGAGACUGCCAGUGAUAAACUGGAGGAAGGUGGGGAUGACGUCAAGUCAUCAUGGCCCUUACGACCAGGGCUACACACGUGCUACAAUGGCGCAUACAAAGAGAAGCGACCUCGCGAGAGCAAGCGGACCUCAUAAAGUGCGUCGUAGUCCGGAUUGGAGUCUGCAACUCGACUCCAUGAAGUCGGAAUCGCUAGUAAUCGUGGAUCAGAAUGCCACGGUGAAUACGUUCCCGGGCCUUGUACACACCGCCCGUCACACCAUGGGAGUGGGUUGCAAAAGAAGUAGGUAGCUUAACCUUCGGGAGGGCGCUUACCACUUUGUGAUUCAUGACUGGGGUG
rnacentral:rRNA from 1 species